rnacentral:rRNA from 1 species
AUUGAACGCUGGCGGCAGGCCUAACACAUGCAAGUCGAGCGGAUGAAGGGAGCUUGCUCCUGGCAUCAGCGGCGGACGGGUGAGUAAUGCCUAGGAAUCUGCCUGGUAGUGGGGGCUAACGUCCGGCAACGGGCGCUAAUACCGCAUACGUCCUGAGGGAGAAAGUGGGGGAUCUUCGGACCUCACGCUAUCAGAUGAGCCUAGGUCGGAUUAGCUAGUGGGUGGGGUAAAGGCCUACCAAGGCGACGAUCCGUAACUGGUCUGAGAGGAUGAUCAGUCACACUGGAACUGAGACACGGUCCAGACUCCUACGGGAGGCAGCAGUGGGGAAUAUUGGACAAUGGGCGAAAGCCUGAUCCAGCCAUGCCGCGUGUGAGAAGAAGGUCUUCGGAUUGUAAAGCACUUUAAGUUGGGAGGAAGGGCAGUAAGUUAAUACCUUGCUGUUUUGACGUUACCAACAGAAUAAGCACCGGCUAACUUCGUG